GAGACAGCAGUCGCCGCGGGAAUACGUAGGUGGCAAGCGUUGUCCGGAAUUAUUGGGCGUAAAGGGCUCGCAGGCGGUUUCUUAAGUCUGAUGUGAAAGCCCCCGGCUCAACCGGGGAGGGUCAUUGGAAACUGGGAAACUUGAGUGCAGAAGAGGAGAGUGGAAUUCCACGUGUAGCGGUGAAAUGCGUAGAGAUGUGGAGGAACACCAGUGGCGAAGGCGACUCUCUGGUCUGUAACUGACGCUGAGGAGCGAAAGCGUGGGGAGCGAACAGGAUUAGAUACCCCCGUAGUCCCUGUCUCUUAUAC
rnacentral:rRNA from 1 species